rnacentral:rRNA from 1 species
UACAGAGGGGGCAAGCGUUGUUCGGAAUUACUGGGCGUAAAGGGCGCGUAGGCGGCCUUCUAAGUCAGACGUGAAAUCCCCCGGCUUAACCUGGGAACUGCGUCUGAUACUGGGAGGCUUGAGUAUGGGAGAGGGAUGUAGAAUUCCAGGUGUAGCGGUGAAAUGCGCAGAUAUCAGGAGGAACACCGGUGGCGAAGGCGGUUCUCUGGGCAUUACCUGACGCUGAGGAGCGAAAGUGUGGGGAGCGAACAGG